AAGUUAGUUAAUGAAUUUUUUGUGUUUUAAGUGUUAUUGACGAAUUGUCAGUAUUAAAUCGAAAGAUAAGUGUCUAGUUCUGGUGAUUUAUUAGUUGAAGUUUCAACCCAAGCAAAGUUUUGAAGAAAUUUCGUGUAAUUUCUUGAUAUUUCAACCCAAGAAAUGUUGGCAGAUGUUAUUAGUUAUUAUGUACUUGACACUGGUUGUUUAUCGGAACGAAUUCCGCAAAAUAGGUGAUCUCCAAUAUGAAGAAGGGAUUUCAUCAUUUCUCCUCCACUAAAAUUACUCUCCCUGGGCGGUUUUAUCAGAAAAUAGAGAGACAUCAGGCGGAAUAUUUAUCCAACUUGAAUUGACUCGGGAUGAGUAUUGCAUCCACCUGCAGCUGUCAUCAUCCCAAAAAGUGCUGAAAAUGAUAACAACAAAGUUGAUGGGAAUUGUUAUGGAUAUGUGAACAUUAUCACCUCCAAAUGAUCUUGGUUUACUUUGGAUGUCAUCAAGUAUUUGAAACCAAGAUGGGGUUAGGAAUAUUCUCUAGUUGAAUACUGCUAGAAUUUACCAAUGGAUGUUUUGGAACAGAGUCUAGUGAAUCGGGUAGAAUAUUACAGGAUGGACCAGGAAAAAUGUUUAGUGAAAGUUUAGGAGGGGUUUCACUGAAAAAUAAAGAAUAUCAAAAUACAUAUUUUUAUUAUAAAAAUGACUAUCACAAUAGAACUUGUCUAAAAUCUUAAUUUUUCAUGAUGAUCUUCUACCACUUAGUAGUAUAUCCAUCAACUUACUUGUCUAAAACAUGUUUUAACCUUUAGAUCAAUACAUGUUAAUUAAUUAUAUUAAUCAAACUAUA